AACUGUUUUUCUGGUUAUUUCCUAAGGGACGAAAAGGAAAAUUCAGAGGGAACGAGAAUAAUAAAUGCAAAUUAUGAAUCCGUUUACCAAACACCGGCAAGAGGAAGUUCACAGUCUUCAAGGCACCAAAUUACACCAUUGAUCCGAACCCAAAAUGGCUCCAUGUCUGGCAUUUUCAGAGGCCGUUUCCAAGUCAAUGUCAUCCUAUCUGCCUUAAACUAAAAGAGACAAAUACGACUGGAAUAAGGUAAAGAUGGAGUGGUUGUCUUGCUGUUGUGCUGGUAUCAGACAUGGGCUCUUCAUCAGAUGACUAAUGGAGUUGUGCAGCUAACCAGGAGGCCCAAGGCUGUUUGUUAGCUCCUAACAAGGUGAACCAGCUCCUACGGAACAGCACACUAGCGCUGAAGGAUUUAUUAUAGAUCUGCGUGUCCGCGGGCCAUGAACAGUAUAGCGCCGGUCUCAUUGUAGUGGGUCCACCACACUAGCAGAGGGUUUAGAUCAUUAUUGCCUCAUUGUUUUGAUACAAUUUUGCAGAGCGGAUGAUGGAUGGAUGGAUAAUCGGAUGAGUAAAGGAGUUUUGGUAGCCUAGCACAUGAGGGUAAUGGAUGGACUGCAAAAACACACGAAAAUGAUAAGGAAAAGUGAGUUUUGAACAUGUUUUAUGGUGGAAUUUGGAAAAACAUUUUCAGUCUUUACACAUUUAGAUAGUUGACAUUGUUGAGUAGUUGACAGUGAUGUACUGUAGUAUGUUAUAAUUCACCUAAAGUUAUAUUAAACAGCAUUGUUUUUAAUAAUUAUAUAUUCAUUUAGAAAGACUUACUUUCUUAUUUAGUUACAUAUAAAAAAUACAAAUUAAAAAAAAAAAAUAUAUAUAUAUAUAUAUAUAUAUAAAUAUAUUUACAUUUUAAAUAUUUGAUUUGCACAUUUAGUAUGUGUGUGUGUUUUUUUAAUUGUACAAAUUUAAAAAUACAAAAACACUAAAACAUUUAA
ensembl:lncRNA